GAUGAACGCUGGCGGCGUGCCUAAUACAUGCAAGUCGAGCGAACAGACGAGGAGCUUGCUUCUCUGAUGUUAGCGGCGAACGGGUGAGUAACACGUGGGUAACCUACCUAUAAGACUGGGAUAACUCCGGGAAACCGGGGCUAAUACCGGAUAAUAUUUUGAACCGCAUGGUUCGAUAGUGAAAGACGGUUUCGGCUGUCACUUAUAGAUGGACCCGCGCCGUAUUAGCUAGUUGGUAAGGUAACGGCUUACCAAGGCGACGAUACGUAGCCGACCUGAGAGGGUGAUCGGCCACACUGGAACUGAGACACGGUCCAGACUCCUACGGGAGGCAGCAGUAGGGAAUCUUCCGCAAUGGGCGAAAGCCUGACGGAGCAACGCCGCGUGAGUGAUGAAGGUCUUCGGAUCGUAAAACUCUGUUGUUAGGGAAGAACAAAUUUGUUAGUAACUGAACAAGUCUUGACGGUACCUAGCCAGAAAGCCACGGCUAACUACGUGCCAGCCGCCGCCGUAA
rnacentral:rRNA from 1 species